GCUAUAAUCCAACUAGGGGAACCUGUCCCUUGAUUCGAUAACCCACGAAAAUCUUACUUACCUUAGAUGUUAUUAUCAGUUUAUAUACCGUCGUCUAGCCGGCCUUACCGAGAGAUAAAAAGCUGGCAAAAGAGGUUUAUUCCCUAAAAAGACAGAUAAAGGUGUAGCCAAUAGGUAAAGGGAAGGAUGUGUUACAAUUAAUAAUUUGAUAAUGGAAUUCUAAUGAAAUUUUAGGAGGAAAGAGGACUUAGAAGUAAUCUUUUAGUAAACACUAGAUGGUGAAUUAUUAGGCUCUAUAGUGUGU
rnacentral:rRNA from 1 species